CAAGUAACCACUGCUUGGGUUGGCAGGGGAAAGGAUGGCUUCCACUCAGUGGUUGAAGCAGGGGGUUGUCAUGGACAAUCAAGAGCAAAUGAGAAUUCCCAGUGAUACCCUGAGGACCACCAUGAAGAGGCUUAGGCUGAGGCUGCAGAGAUACUGCAAAAGGGCAUUGAAUCAGAAGGUUUGUUGCUGUUAUCAUAAGCCUGGUGUACCCAAGCUGGUGCCAUUUGGAGAAAUGCCGGUUAUGUCAUUAUCUACAUUUUAUUAUACAAUCAUCAUUAG
rnacentral:lncRNA from 1 species